GCGGCGAGCGAAGCGGGAAGAGCCCAGCGCCGAAUCUCCGGGCCCCGUCUAGGGACCGCGAGAACUGUGGCGUAAGGAAGUCCGAUCCCCGUGGUCGCGCCGGCACCGAAGUCCUUCUGAUCGAGGCGUGCUCAAUCCCAGGGCGGGUGUCAGGCCCCUGCCGGACGCCGGCCGGCCGCGGACCAGGGCUUCCGGGAGUCGGGUUGUUUUGUAGUGCAGCCCAAAGGCGGGUGGUAAACUCCAUCCAAGGCUAAAUACAGGCACGAGACCGAUAGAGC
rnacentral:rRNA from 1 species